GACGGACGCUGGCGGCGUGCUUAACACAUGCAAGUCGAACGGUAAGGCCCUGCUUUUGUGGGGUGCUCGAGUGGCGAACGGGUGAGUAACACGUGAGUAACCUGCCCUUGACUUUGGGAUAACUUCAGGAAACUGGGGCUAAUACCGGAUAGGAGCUCCUGCUGCAUGGUGGGGGUUGGAAAGUUUCGGCGGUUGGGGAUGGACUCGCGGCUUAUCAGCUUGUUGGUGGGGUAGUGGCUUACCAAGGCUUUGACGGGUAGCCGGCCUGAGAGGGUGACCGGCCACAUUGGGACUGAGAUACGGCCCAGACUCCUACGGGAGGCAGCAGUGGGGAAUAUUGCACAAUGGGCGGAAGCCUGAUGCAGCAACGCCGCGUGCGGGAUGACGGCCUUCGGGUUGUAAACCGCUUUCGCCUGUGACGAAGCGUGAGUGACGGUAAUGGGUAAAGAAGCACCGGCUAACUACGUG
rnacentral:rRNA from 1 species